GAAACGCGAUAGUUAAUGUGAAUUGCAGAAUUCAGUGAAUCAUCGAGUCUUUGAACGCACAUUGCGCCCAUAGGUAUUCCUUUGGGCAUGUCUGUUUGAGCGUCAUUACAACCCUCAGCUAACCGCUGGUUUUGAACCUGAACGUGUGACACCGCGCCGGUUUUAAAGUUGUAAGCUCUGCUGGCCGCUCUGCCCAACCAGAACAUAGUAAGCACUACUUGUCCGGGUGAAGCUGAACGGUACGGCCUGAACAAAACCUACCCACUCUCAAGGUUUGACCUCAGAUCAGACAAGGAUACCCGCUGAACUUAAGC
rnacentral:misc_RNA from 1 species